rnacentral:piRNA from 1 species
UUCGUAUCAAUUAUUUCAUGUACAAU